AACCCGCUCUAGCGAGUUAUCAUCGGAAUGAGUACAAUCUAAAUCCUUUAACGAGGACCUAGCGGAGGGCAAGUCUGGUGCCAGCAGCCGCGGUAAUUCCAGCUCCGCCAGUGUAUAUCUAUGCUGCUGCGGUUAAAAAGCUCGUAGUUGGAUCUUCGUGUUGAUGCCGGUCUGUCUUUGUGACAUGAACUGAUCAUCAGCACUGUUUCGUUGGUUUUCCCUUGAUGCCUCUAAUCGGGUGUCCUGGGUGGCCAACAUGUUUACUUUGAAAAAAUUAGAGUGCUUAAAACAAGCGAUUUGCUUGAAUAUUCGUGCAUGGAAUAAUAGAAUAGGCUUUAGGCUCUAUUUUGUUGGUUUUCGGAGCACAAGAGAAUGAUUAAGAGGGACAGACGGGGGCAUUCGUACUCCGACGUUAGAGGUGAAAUUCUUGGAUCGUCGGAUGACGCACUACUGCGAAAGCAUUUGCCAAGAAUGUUUUCAUUAAUCAAGAACGAAAGUUAGAGGUUCGAAGGCGAUCAGAUACCGCCCUAGUUCUAACCGUAAACGAUGCCAACUAGCGAUCUGCUGGUGUUUUUUCAGACCCAGCAGGGAGCUUACCGGAAACGAAAGUCUUCAGGUUCCGGGGGAAGUAUAGUUGCAAAGCUGAAACUUAAAGGAAUUGACGGAAGGGCACCACCAGGAGUGGAGCCUGCGGCUUAAUUUGACUCAACACGGGAAAACUCACCCGGCCCGGACACCGUAAGGAUUGACAGAUUGAGAGCUCUUUCUUGAUUCGGUGGGUGGUGGUGCAUGGCCGUUCUUAGUUGGUGGAUUGAUUUGUCUGGUUUAUUCCGAUAACGAACGAGACUCCAACCCACUAACUAGUGGGCGAAUCUUCUUGUUCGCAACACUUCUUAGAGGGACAAGCUGUGUUUAGCAGCAUGAGAAGGAGCAAUAACAGGUCUGUGAUGCCCUUAGAUGUCCGGGGCUGCACGCGCGCUACACUGAAGGAAUCAACGUGCUAGAAAACCUUGUUUGACAUGGCUAGGUAACCCCUUGAAAAUCCUUCGUGAUUGGGAUCGGGACUUGCAAAUGUGUCCCUUGAACGAGGAAUUCCCAGUAAGUGCGAGUCAUCAGCUCGCGCUGAUUACGUCCCUGCCCUUUGUACACACCGCCCGUCGCUGCCCGGAACUGAGCCGUUUCGAGAAGACUGGGGACUGCCGACUUAGGGCCUUCACGGGUUUUUUGUCAGUGGAAACCAAUUUAAUCGCAGCGGCUUGAACCGGGCAA
rnacentral:rRNA from 1 species